rnacentral:lncRNA from 1 species
GCACACUUGAGUCAAGGCCCAGGCUUGCCUACGAGAUGGCCCCUCUCUCCCUCCUUCCCUAAUGGGGCAGUAAUUCUGGUUGAGUGCUUGCAAGAGUCUGAGGACUUGAAUGAAAGCAGACUGGCUGAGCUUAGUCCUGAGGACAGAGACACAGCUGGCGGGGGAGAAGGGUUCACUGAGGUGAGGAAAUCGAGGCUCAGCAGAGAAUCCGUGGCCAAGUCACAGACCGCAACGCUGGCGAGGGGAGGGCAUUGCCUCCACUUCAGCAAGACUGUGGCGUGGGAGAAAGUCUGGCUUUGGCGUAGCAAAAGCCUGGGGGUCGUUGGAGCGGGCCAGAGAGCAGUGCCCCCUGGGGAGACUGAGGAGAGCUUCCAGAAACAAGAAGAGGAUUCCCAAGAGGUAGGCAGGAGGAACUGAUGUGAUCCCUCUACGCAUUCACAAAAUGAGGUGUGAGGGCUUUGAGCUUCCAGGCAAUUUCCUCAGAGUGGGGUGGGGUGGCAGUAGGGGAGGAAGGUGGAGAAAGACCGCACUUUUGCUGCAUUUUUAUAAAACAUCUUCCUUUGCUUUAUCUGCAUUCACAUGCAGGCUCAUAGCACCUAAUAAUGGUUAAUAAGCCUCUGAAUGUGUCACUUCAUCUCCGCAACAGCCCCGUGAGGGAGUCUUUCUUUCCCUCUCUCUCUCUUUAAACAGAUGAGGGAACUGUGGCUGCAGACGUCAAGUAACUUGUUCCAGAUUUCACCUGGAGUUUGAACCCUGGUACUCUGACUUCAGAGGCCAGGUUCUUAGCUGCCACAGUGACACAGAGACCAGAAGCAGCCUUGACAUGAGAGUAAAUCCACAGUUAUCUGGUACAAAAGGAGGUGGGGGAGCAUACGGGCUGAUAUUUACUGAUCACCUAUUAGGAGUUUUAUCUCAAUCCUCACAACAUCUCUGUGAGCACAGCACAGUCAUUGCCUCAUUUUUACAGGUGAGGAUAUUGAGGUUCAGAGAUGUUAAGUAGCUUGCCCCAGGUUACACAGCUAGUAAGGUGUGGGGCCAGAAUUUGAAUUCAGAUAUGUCAGAUUCCAAUUCCAUGUACUUCCAGCUAUAACAGGUAAAUUAUGAAAAUAAGUGAAUGCCACAAGCGAUGUUUUGAUAUUCUAAAUCAGUAGUUCUCACCUGGGGCGAUUUUACCCUCCAGGGGACAUUUAGCAAUGCCUGGAGACGUUUUUGGUUGUUCCAACUGGGAGAGAAGUGCUACUGGCAUCUAGUGGGUAGAAGCCAGGGAUUCUGCUAAACACCCUAUAAUGCACAGGACAGCCCCACCACAAAGAAUUAUCAAGAUGUGCCAAGGUUGAGAAAUCCUAUUCUAAGUUUAAAUAAAUUCGGAAACAUUUUGAAGAAAUAGCA